GGAUUCCAAAUUAGAUUGUCACCUCAUUCUCAACAGGCGUUCAUGAAUUUCCCGGUGGUAAUAAAGAGUCGAAAAGAAAUAACAAAAUUUCAUAAAGGCUUGCACUAGUUCCAAGCUGUGUGGAGACAUCAUGGAAAGGUGGUUCUCCUCAAAAGCUGCCGAGAUGACUACAGAAAACAAAUGGAGAGGAUCUUGACUCUGCCUCCAGCUGUGGCAGCUUUUCCACCUAGAGAGAGGGAGUGGCUGAAGGAUGAUGGCCGUUCCCUUCCCUGCCUCCUCGAAGAGACAUUCACUGCCCGCUCUGUGCUCCCAGUGUCAGAGAAAGGACAGGCCCUUUCCAUACUAAGGUUUUGGCAAGUACUAUCUGAACUUUUAAGAAGCUGAAAGACCCUGCAGGGAUUCUGCUGCCAAAGUUUUUGAGGUCCUGUGGACAAAACAGAGAAAAAGAUUGGCUGCCUUCUGGAAGGGGGUCCAGACAGCAACAAGCAAGAAAAAUAUAGGAUCCUAAGAAAUGCUAUUGAACGUCAAUGUCAAUCCAAGUGAUGACUACAGGAGCAUCCUAGAAAUCCAUGGUCUCGACUCAGCAGGAACAAGUGGAGAAGCUAAGAAUAGAGGAGGGCCAGCACCGAGGGAUGUUGUCAAGACCAGCUUUAUUGUGCAGGUUUCUUCCCAUGCUCUCAUGCUCUAUUCUGUAUGGCCUCUGAGGCCAAAACAUGGCCUUAAAAAAUAGUCUCAUGAAAUGUCAAAGUUCUAUUAUUUCCUAAAUCCAUCUGGAAAUUUGAGACUGCUUCUAAGUUCUCAUUGUCCUAAGAGAACUGAUGAAUUGAUGAAUGUCUGGUGGGCUGGGUGGGUGUUCUGAAGCUCCCACUCACCAAGCCUUGGCAGGUUCCUAAAAGAUGAAAGGAAAAUAAGGAGGGAGGGAUAUCCUGUUGGUUGCUCCUGUUCUCAAUGGAGAGCUGACCCUGCUUUUGCCUUUUCAUCAACGAGUCCAGUGAGAGUAGUUUUCGGAGCCUAAAGUGCAAGUGAGCACACUCUUGUGAACUGCUAGCUGAGCCUGUAGGGCUGUCUGCUGCUGUCCUUUGUCCAAGGAGGGUUGCCCUUAAGGACUCAUUACCACACGUCCCCUGAGAGUGUCCAACCUCUGCAAACUCACCCUAUUAUUCCCCUGAGAUGGCAUCGUGGGCUGAAUUUUGCCCCCCAAAAGUCAUAUGUUGAAGUCCUAAACCCUAGUAUCUCUGCAUGUGGCGAUAUUUGGAGACAGAGACUUUAAAGAGGUAAUUAAGUUAAAUUGGGUCACUAAGAUGGGUCCGAAUCCAAUGUGACUGGCGUCCUUACAAGAAGACGAGAUUAGGACUGCGGCAACACAGAGAGACAACCCUGGGAGAGACACAGCAGAAGAUGGCCAUCUGCCAGCCAAGGAGAGAGACCUCAGAAGAAACCAAAGCUAUUAACGCCUUGACCUUGGACUUCUAGCCUCCAGAAUUGUGAGAAGACAAAUUUCUGUUGUUUAAGCCCCCCGGUCUGUGGUAUUUGGUUGUGGCAGCCCAAACGAGCCAGUACAGAUGUCCUCUAUUCUUUCUAGUGCCGGAGCAACACAAACUCCCUAGGACGUCCCUCUGGCCCGAAGAGGGAGAGCGAAGAAACCAGAAAAUCCUAGAUGAGUGACAGCUGCUUUCCUGAUUUUUAAGAAGUGUUGAUUCCUUUGUGAGACAAGUUGUUGACCUGAGCUCCAAGUGAAACAGCCUACAGAUAUUGACCAAGCUUCUAGGAUCUCAACAGGACACAAGCCCUGUACUGUAGGAAAGCUGCCUGUGCUGUGAAGCCCACAGCUCAAAGUCCAAAAGACCCUCUUUGAAACCUCAGUUCUGCCACUUUCCAGCUGUGUGAGCUUGAAUUUCUCCCAAUGUGCAACACGGAGAACAAACUUCAGGUAAUUGAGUUCUCCAGAGCUGGUGUCAGGACAGCAGACUUGAAGGUAAAGGAUCCAUCUGAAGCCUGUUCCCGGGAGCCGAGGGAGUGACAGUGAGGCAGCCAUGGGUGAGCACUUGGACUGCAGAAAAUGGGCCAGAAGCCACCCCAUCUCUGCCAAUGAUCUGAGCCUGGUGGAGGUGGGCGGCUGGAACCCCUGAAGAGAAGGCCCUGUCCUCAUGUAACUCAGAUCAGAGGUGCAGUGCAAGACAGAUGUGCACGGGCUGUAGGUGGUAAAAGAACAUACUAUAGGAGGAAGGAUAAUGUCCUGAAAAGAUUUACAGAUUGAG
ensembl:lncRNA